UGAUGGUAGUUUUAUUUUGUUGCAACAAACAGUCUGAAACUUAACACCCUUUAAAUUGUGCAGUCUUUGGAAUUGUUUUUAUUUCAGUUUCAUAAAUGAGUCUUGUGGAAUCUGCAAAUGGGUUCAAAUCGGCGACUGCAACAGGAGCGUACAGGAGAGCAGCAACUAGUUCGUUCGCCUCGCCGCGGGUGCUGCUGCUGCAACACCUACAACCGACGGAGGAGAACGGGCUGACCGACACAAUUCACGAGUGAUCUUGGUGGAAUAACGCGCGUUGAGCUGCUUUAACACCUUUUUACAGGCUGUACAAUAGUUGGACAGCAGAUCUUCUUCGCCAAUGGCAAGUCCGGUUGCAGACAUAGGACAGUCUCAUCAGCAUCACCCUGUGACCAACUCGGCCGCUGACUCCGCGUUUCAGGAGGCGCAGACAUGGAUAGAGGCUGCUACAGGAAGAUGCUUUGGUGACAAGGACUUCAGAGGGGGUUUGGAGAAUGGGAUUUUGCUAUGCGAGUUGUUGAGCUCUAUUAAACCCGGCCUGGUGAAGAAAAUCAACAGACUUCCGACACCCAUAGCGGGCCUGGACAACCUCAGUGUGUUUCUGCGUGGCUGUGAAGAGUUGGGACUGAAAGGUUCCCAGCUGUUUGACCCUGGAGACCUGCAGGACACGUCGACACGCCCCACUGCCAAGGGAAGUGACUGCAGCCGAAAGCUCAAGAAUGUUCUAAUCACCAUCUACUGGUUGGGUCGUGCUGCUAACAGCUGUACCUCCUACAACGGUCCCACGCUGGACCUGAAAGAGUUUGAGGGCCUGCUUUCACAGAUGCGAAAGGAGGCAGAGGAGGCAGAGAGCCCUAAACGCAGCAUCCGGGACAGUGGCUACAUCGACUGCUGGGACUCUGAGCGCAGCGACUCUCUCUCCCCACCACGCCACGGCCGCGAGGACUCGUUCGACAGUCUGGACUCCUUCGGCUCACGCUCACGACAGACCCCAUCGCCGGACGUCCUGGUCGCCCGCGGCAGCAGUGAUGGCCGCGGCAGUGACUCAGAGUCCGACGGUCCCCCCCACAGAAAGAUACCUGACAUCCGUAAGGAUGACAUGUUGGCACGUCGGACGUCCAUCAGCGAACCACGAACAGCCAUGCCUUUCAACCAGUACCUGCCAAACAAGAGCAACCAGAGUGGAUAUUUGCCCACUCCACUCCGCAAGAAGAAGAAUGAUAAAGAAGAUGGAGCACGCAAGAGUUGGAGUACUGCUACUUCACCUGUAGGGGGAGACAGACCACUCAGUCCAAAUGAGCCCCCUAGCUUAGACGACCCACCUGGAGAGUCCCCCAGCUUGUCCGCUACCCCGCCCCUUGAACCCCAAAUACAGAUUCAGAAGACGAACCAGACUAAAAAGGACGAUGAGGAAGGGAAGCAGACUGCCUCUACACUUUGCCUUGAGAUCCAUGCAGCAGGCUUAAGGAGGAGCAGUGAGCCUCUGCCAUGUAGAGUCCCCCAACCCUGUGCAGAGCCACCCAUGGUGAACGUAACUCACCUGAUCAUCACCUCUGAGCAAAGUACUCGCUCGUGCUCAGAGGAACUCUUCCACCAUUCCACAACUCUAGCAGCAAACGCUGCAGCAACCCCCGCAGUUGCAGCAAGCCCCAUCAUCACCCCCGGGAAGCAUCCACCUGUCCCGGCACAGGAGGAGGCGGCUGUGACGAAGGGAGCCACUGGUAUCCCGUUAGUCGCAGAACGAGAUGAGAAGCUGGCUCGCCAAAUGUUGAUCUCUCCCAAACACAUCACCAUUCCGAGUCCCCCCCACUUCCUUCCUGUGCCCACUAUCGUGGCAACUGCUACAACAGCAACAACUGAUACAGGACGACGGAAGGGAAGGGCGCUCAGUGAAAGUGACGACCCACAAGGAGGGAACUCUUGGUUGGCCAGCAGUCUUCCAGCAACAUUCAGCCGCACACACAGUGUGUCAGAUGAUCCACAGAGUGUAAGUAUGAUCGAUAUGCGUGGUGAGGAGGAGGCCAUCUUGCAGCCCCACAGUCAGGUGCGUCAUGAACUGAUGCACAACCAGUAUAACAGGAUGAAAGAAGAGGAUGAUCACUGGCAGGAUGACCUGGCCCGAUGGAAAAAUCGGAGGAGGAGUAUUUCCCAGGACCUAAUCAAGAAGGAGGAGGAGAGGAAGAUGAUGGAGCAGUUGCUGUCAGGAGACACCUGUACCUCCAUGAGGAGGAGAAGCAUCAAGACUUACAGAGAGAUAGUGCAGGACAAGGAGCGUCGUGAGGAUGAGCUGCGGGAUGCGUACAGGAGAGCCAGAACCCCAGAGGAGGCAUCAUUCAUCCUCCAGCGUUAUGCCCAGCGUUUCUCCAUCAGUGAUGCAGUCCUGGAACGCCUACAGUUGCCAAAGAUCCUGGACCGCAGCCUAUCUGCUGAUCCCACCUUUUCCGGCUCACCCUUCCCUCUCUCCCUGUCCGCCUCCCCAACGACCCCAGACCCCUUUGACAUGGACCCCAACGGACCCAUGAAGUAUCUGCGCCAGCUGUCUGCUCCGGCUCCGAAGUUCACAUCUACACUGGAAGCGCAAAUUGAGGAGUUUCCCAAAGACUCUUCAAACCAGCGGCCUCAGAUUCGAUCUCGCUCAUCUGAGCCGCCAUCCACCAGAAACCUGUCGCCUAAACCGGUGCCUUUGCUGACGCCCAAGCCUUACUUCCAUUCCGGACCCACAACGGCUGAACCAUGGCCCAGCAAGGCGGAUGGUUUUCUCCGAGUCAACGGCAUAGGAAGUGACGACGUUCCUUCCACUCCUGACAGUCAAGGAAGGGAAUCUCCGCCUCAUUUUCAGGCGUCCCCUUCCCAAACCAGCAACAGCACUGUAGAUGCUCCGUCGUCAGCAGCCUUACCAACAUGCAGUCCACACACCUCAACCAGAGAAGAAAGCUCUGUGUCAACAAAGGCCAAGGAGGCACAAAGUGGCACAGAACCGGUUUCUAAGGACCUCCAAGCCGAGAAAGUCAUUCAGCAUUCGGCGCCACCCAGCCGGCCCACCUCGCUGCCAUCGGAGCUGCAGAAGCCAGAAGAAAGCAUUGGGAAGACUGAAAGCCAGUCAGUAGCUGCUGCAGAGGUGAAGUCAAGUGCUGCAGCUCAAGAAAUGCCUCCUGCAGAAGCCAAACAAGAACAAGAUAUAACUGAACCAUCUGGUCAAAGCAUCUGCAACCCCGUCCAGUCAGGGAUCAGCACACAGCAAAGUCAGCCAGCAACUUCACAGGCAAGUGUUCCCAGUUUCCACGAGUUGCCACAGCGAAGAGAGAAUGCACCAAGCUUAGCUGCACCAGGAUCAUUUGAAUAUCACCCACCAAGGGAAACAACAGCAGAGUUUGCAAACAGUGUCAGGUCUCCGCUGGCAACCAGCAACCCUAAGUUACGCUGGGAGUUCUUCGUUCCGCCAGAAGAGGCGGAGAAGGAUUGCCGUGGAAACGUGUCAGUCCCGGUGUUGCCCCAGGCCAGGCGGGGUGACCGCUGGUCUUGGGACCCGGAUGAGGAGCGAAAGCGUCAGGAAAGGUGGCAGCAAGAGCAGGAGCGCAUGCUGCAGGAGAAGUACCGGUGCGAGCAGGAGAAGCUGAAGGAGGAGUGGGAGAAAGCCCAGAGGGAGGUGGCCGAGGAGGAGAGGAAGUACCACGAGGAGGAGCGUAGGAUACUGGAGGAAACUGUGACGCCUCUAACUCCCCGCUCCUCAGCCCUGCCCUCCCCCAGCCGAGGCGAGGCCUCCUCUACCUCGGAGCCCCAAGACACCAUCGUCCGUUCGCUUGGUGACUGGGAACGCAAACAGGAACUGCUGGAGAGGCACUCGAAGGGGAGCACAGAGAGUGUCGAAUGGAAACGAAGAGAAAACGACAGGACCAGUGAUAUCAGCACCGCUGAUGACAGCAUGAAAACAGGCAGAAGCUUGGUGAGUCAGAGCAGCAGUCAGCCAGAGACACUCGGUCACAGUCUGCAGAACGGCCAAAAACUCCCUGCGAUGCCGAGCAAAACCUCGACUCCUGUGAAGAAACAAGAAGAGCCUUCAGCAGACAGCAACAAGCCCAACCGGCCUGCAGGAGACAGGAGGAGUGGUCCAAUAGAUAAUAUCAUGUGCCCCAGCUCAUCAAAAAGCCCCACAGCAUGUCCACCACCUCCAGACACACUGCCUCCAACACCUAACAGUGAAAUGUACAUUCCUAAACAUUACUGCAAAUGUGCCAGAGUUGUCUCGAAAUUCAACUGCUCAUCUGCAGUCCCAGGUCUGUCAGUGGGAAGAAACUGUGCUCCAGCUGUGGGCAGCCGUUAGGGAAGGGGGCCGCCAUGAUCAUAGAGACCCUCAGUCUUUACUUCCACAUUCACUGCUUUAAGUGCGGAGUGUGUAAAGGACAGUUAGGCGACACGACCACGGGGACGGACGUCCGGAUCAGAAACGGUCUCCUCAACUGCCACCAGUGCUACAUCCGCUCCCGCUCGGCCGGACAGCCAACCACGUUGUGACGGUCAACAGAAAAGCACAAGGUUCAUGGAAGAAACCCCAUCCCUGUUUUAACCCGAUAAUCUACGAAUCAUGUCCUUCACAGCGUGUCGGGAUCUUUGCGUCCUCUGCAGCUCAAUAACCGAUGAAGAUCAGUCAGGGGGGGCAAAUAAGGGAUCUGGGGACAGCCAACCAUUUAAAAAUAUAUAUUCUUCAUGUUUAUGUCAUCUGAUAUGUGAGUGAAAACUGGAUUUGAUUGGUCCACGUAGUACCACGGACUCUGUUUCAUCAUGCAGCGAGAGAGAGAGAGAGAGACUGUUCUGGGGUGGCAGCCAUGUUGAAAACAAAAGAAAACAACCUUAACGGAUGCUAGAAACAAAGAUAAUGUUAACGUCCUAUAUUGUCAGAGUGAACACACAAAAGGAAAAGAAUAUGGUGUUCAUGUCUUCAAGGUGGUUAAGUAAAAUCAGGAUUUAUUUUCCUGUUGGAAAACGUUAGAAUAUUUGCCAUUCAAUUCCAUAUGAUGGAAAUGCAGAACAUCACAUAGUUAAUAAAUUACUUUUUUUAUCAUUUGAAAAAAGGUUUUCUUUAUUUGGAUUAAAAUCCAAAAGCUAGAGAGACCUAAAUAUGUGGUCAGGCAGCUCAGGUUGGGUUUAGUUAUUUCUCUAAACCGAAUGGAUCUGAAAAAUAUUAAUAAUUGAAUUCACCUUUUAACUGAGUGCUAAUUAAAAGAAAAAAUAUAUACAAAAACAUUUAGAGUAAUGCAGUAAAAGUCACUUCAAACCCAAGAUUUAGAUCAACAGACAUAUCUAAAGUAAGGCACUAUUUGCCCUACAGAACAAUGUAUCUUGUUCUGUACUCCUAAAUAAAAUUAGCCUCUAAUAUAAACACAUGUUGCAGAUGUAGUUUCAUCUUUAGGGCGAUAGCAUGACUCUUGAGCUGUUUUUGUGCUUUGGGUCACAGCAGGUUGCUCCUCGGCCAGUCGGUCCGCCUGGAAAGUCAGGACUAUAAUGUGCCUUAGGAAAGCAAGAUGAUGCAGGAGGAAACACACCAGCUGUAUGGUGUUUUAUUUCUCUUUUUCAUUUAUAUGGGUGUAGGGAGGGAUUUGGCCAAAUUUUAACCCUUAAAUUGCAGAAAGACAGGCUGCAACCCUCCCUUACAUCACGCUUUACUUCAGUACUGCUUAUUUUACAUGAACAACCCCCUUAAUUUCAUAUUUCCCCCCUGUUAUUCCUCAGUGAUCUGUAGUGAUAACAACCAGUGCAGAGGAAUACAUUUGUUGUCUAUUUGGAAAAAAUAUAUACUGCAGGGCAAACAUGGAUUUAAUUUUGAAUGUUUUAUUCUAGAGAGAUAUAGACUUCUCUAUGCUAUUAAUUGAGGUAAUUUUGAUAAUUGCUCAGUGGUAGGAUUCAUUAAUAAAAUUACAAAACACAAAAAUCACCAGUUCAUGUUGCAUCUAGUAUAAAAAGCAAAGGUAAUAUGAACACUCAUACCAGCAACUGUUGCACCUGUGCAAUAUUUGGUUGGAUUAAAACUAAAGAUCUGUGCCGCCAGCUGGGCAUUUUCGGUCACUUGCUUCUUUUCUUUUUAAACUUGUAUGAGAGGAGCUCGGUCAUGUAUUGUGGAUG